rnacentral:rRNA from 1 species
CAGUAGCCGCGGUAACACGGAGGGAGCUAGCGUCGUUCGGAAUUACUGGGCGUAAAGCGCACGUAGGCGGCUUUGUAAGUUAGAGGUGAAAGCCUGGAGCUCAACUCCAGAACUGCCUUUAAGACUGCAUCGCUUGAAUCCGGGAGAGGUGAGUGGAAUUCCGAGUGCAGAGGUGAAAUUCGUAGAUAUUCGGAAGAACACCAGUGGCGAAGGCGGCUCACUGGACUGGUAUUGACGCUGAGGUGCGAAAGCGUGGGGAGCGAACAGGAUUAGAUACCCCAGUAGUCCCUGUCUCUUAUAC